CACGUAGGGCGCAAGCGUUGUCCGGAAUUAUUGGGCGUAAAGAGCUCGUAGGCGGUCUGUUGCGUCCGCUGUGAAAACUCGGGGCUUAACCCCGAGCCUGCAGUGGAUACGGGCAGACUAGAGGUAGGUAGGGGAGAAUGGAAUUCCCGGUGUAGCGGUGAAAUGCGCAGAUAUCGGGAGGAACACCGGUGGCGAAGGCGGUUCUCUGGGCCUUACCUGACGCUGAGGUGCGAAAGCGUGGGGAGCAAACAGGAUUGAGAA
rnacentral:rRNA from 1 species